GGCGAUUUUUCCUGAUUUUUCCUUCUUUACCGUUGCACUGCUCUCUUUCCGACGAAGAGCUAUGCUCGAAACGUUAACGACUCUCUCCUUUCACAGUUUAAUAAUAUACAUACACAUUAAAGCAUUCCUUCGAUAUUGGUCUACAAAGUGUCUGUAUGAGGAGACGCGUCAUUCACCUUCUUUUUCAGCCUAGCCUCUUUAUCUAUGUCAUGACGGAAGGUUGUGUGGGUGAAUGAUGUCAUGUGCCAAUAUCUAAGUAUUGCCCAUGUUAAUUGUAAGUUGACAUAAAAUUAUUCAUUCAUUUAUAUUCAACGCUCCUCAGAAAUUAUAUUCGAUCGUCGUCAACCUAGCAACGACUUCCUUUAAAUACAAUGAUGUAAGAAUUUAUACUCCCAAAACGCACUAGGAAUUGUAUUACAUCAAAUCUCUUUCAAUUCAGAGAGAUUUCUGUUUUUUUUUUAGAUAUGUUAAUUAGUACAUAAUGUAAUAACGGUAUAAAUUCAUAUGUUGUUUUGCUACGGAAAAUCGUUGCUGAGAGACCGAGGAACUUAUAUUCCGAGAAUAGCUUCAUCAAUACAGUGUAGUAACGCCGUGCGCAUGCGUAGUCUCACGCAUGCGUGGAAUUAAACAACCAAGCGUUCCCGCUCAAUUCAUUCUCUUUCUCGGUCGGCCAGCCAUGAGCAUGGACGUGUCAAGCAGUGUCUCCAGCAUUCCAACCUGGAGACAGUCUCUUUCUUGCUGGCCAGCAAUAGAGCAUGGACGUGUUUAGCUGUCACUCUCCAUCUUUCGGACUUACACUCGACAGCUCGCUUACAUCUACAUACCAACGUCCUAACAACUAUGCUCACACACACAGAAGCUGUAACAACAAGAGCUAAAGAUGUAUAUAUUUACCACCUGAAUAAAUGUUGUUUAAGUUGAUAGUCUGAGGUUCAGCGUUCCGUUAUAUUCUUUAAUUUUAUAUAGGAAAGUCAGGUAUACAUCUAAUGAUGUAUAACCAACUUUCCUAUAACAGGAAAGAAUAGCAGUGCGUUAACUUAGAAUUAUGUGCAUGAAAAUAUUGGUUUCAAAUGUUGGCACAAGGCCAGCAAUUUUAUGGGGGUUGGGGUAAGACGCUUGCAUCGACUUCAGUGCUCCGCUGGUGUUUACUUUAACGACCCAGAAUGGAUAAAAGGCAAAGUCGACCUCGGCGGAAUUUGAAUUUAGAGCAUAAGGAAGGUCGAAAUGGCGGUAAGCAUUUUGCCUCGGCGUGCUAACGAUUCUGCCUGCUCGUCGCCUUAUGAGCAUGUAAAAAUUAAAAGCGUGUAUACAUAUCGGUGCAAGUACAAGUAUGUGGUUAAGCAAACCGCUUUGCAGCCCUGUAGAUUCGGAUUCAGUCCCACUGCACGGCACAUUGAACAAGUAUAAACCCGAACCAACCAAUGCUUUGUGAAUGAAUUUGGUAGACGGAAACUGUGUGGAAACCCGUCAUGUGGGUAUGUGCGUCUAUCUUUGUAUCCCCCCACCACCACACUUGACAACUGGUGUUGAUACGUUUACGUCCCGUAACUUAACGAUUUCUGCAUAAAGGACCGAUGCAAUAAGGAUUUAAAAAGAAGCACUGGGGUCGAUUUGAUGGAGUAAAAUUGUUCAAGGCGGUGCUGUAGCAUGGCCGCAGUCCGAAGACUGGAGCAAAAAUUAAAGAAAAACAUACAUAUGAGAUUGCUCAAAUUAUUUAGCGUUAUCUGGCUCGCUGUGAAAAACGUUUGGUGACCUCUGGAUUAAAAUAUGAGAAUGGCGAUAACUGAUCAAUCAAGUGACUUCACACUCACCAAAGGGAACAGACCAAGUCAUCCAGCUGAAACAAUAGCAGAUAUAGAUUUUAUAGAUGAUAUUGCGUUGAAGGCGAACUACUCUUAGUAAGAGUGGAAAUUUCAGCUGCACAAAUUUGCUUCCACUUGAACACGACACAUCAAUAUUCACCUCCCUUCAUCAGUCUCCAAUAGAAUCAUCGCCUCAGAAAGACAAGCUGAAACUAGUUAUUUCGCAAGCUUACAACGAACGUGACAUCGCAAUCGCGCGUAAACGGUUCCUUUCCCCAGAAAAGGAAAGAUCUGACUGCUAUUCAAAGCGAAUACAGAGGAGUUUGCAGUUGCCAUUUUCAAAUCUUCAUGGAUUGCACGAGGAAGAUUAUACCGUAAGGAAUAAAACUAAUGCUGAUUUGAUUGAUCUCAUUCACAUUGAAAACUUAAUGGAUAACAUUCUUUCCAUUUGAUGAAGCAUCAUUUCAUUCAUGCAGAAAAAUUAAUCGGCACAAUUGUCACAACUGGACACAUUAACGUCCAAAAGACUUUGUCCAACACUGUGAAAAUGACUCGCUUAAGAUUAACGUGUGGAUGGAUAUAAAAAGAAAAAAAACGAUACUUUCUGAUUAUCUGCAAGUUUAAAAUAAAAAUAAAAAAGAUUAGUAAAUAAAAUAUUACAUUCGUGAAAUAGAUUUAAUAGUUGAUCGUUGGACUUUCGGUAUAGCUAUCGCUACCUCAUGGAGAAGGGGGAAAAGCAAGGAAAUGUGUAAUUGUCGCCUUUUGUGAAAGUUUUUAUUAUUAUUAUUAUUAUUGUCCAAAACAUUUAAUCUUUUAACAUUCUUCCUCUCCAAUUCCGUGUCUUUUCUAGUAAAUUUUUACUGGUACUUUUCUCCAUGACGUCGUGAUAGCUAUUCCGAAAGUCCACCGAUCAGCUAUUACACCCGUCUCACGAAUGUAAGUUUACUUUGUCAUCCCGACGAGAAACGCUGUUCUAGCUGGAGAGUUUAUUUUAUAGGUGAAUAAAAAUUAUUGCAAGGGACAUAACUUUGCUACUACAAUAGUGGAAAGACUUCAAACGUAAAAUUUUAAUAAUUCUUUCCAGGCUUUUAUCAACCAAACAAAAACUGGAAAUUAAAUUAAUAUUUCAUUAUA